CUUCGUCUACCUGCUGGGGACAGAUGAAGUGGACGUGGGUAUCGAUGCCGCCGGCCGUGACGAUCAUCCUCUCGGCGGCGAUGAUGUCGGUAGAUGAGCCGAUGACCAUUCCGGGGGUGAUGCCAUCCAUGACAUCUGGGUUCCCAGCUUUGCCGAUUCCGACGAUGAUGCCGUCCUUGAUCCCGAUGUCCGCCUUGUAGAUGCCGGACCAGUCGAGGAUGACGGCGUUGGUAACGCAGCUGUCGAGCACCUCAUGGGCAUGUCUGCCGGUGGCCUGUCCCAUGCCUUCUCUCAG
rfam:Trichophyton benhamiae CBS 112371 Abenha-G-c-322p01.r1, whole genome shotgun sequence.